GAAGACAAUGUGAAGAUGGACUCGGAGAUGGGAGUGACACUGCUGCCACAGGAAUGCCAACAGUCACCAGAAGCUGGAGCAAGGGGAGGAACAGACUCUCCCCAAGAGCCUCUGGAGGGAUCUUGGCCCACCUUGAACUUGAACUUCUGGUCUCCAGAACUGAAUUUAUCUAUGGGCAGGACUUCGAGGAGGCUUCCCUUAAUCAGAGUCUUAGCUCUCGCCUGAAGCAAAUGCAAGCCUGUCACAUCUCUGCCCUUAAAUUGAGAAUUGAAACUCCAGCCCUCCGUGUCUUAGCCCAAAUGUUGCCUUUUUGGCCUGCCUCGCCCUGCUAUCCUGUGCCCAUAUAAACCCCAGACCCCAGCUGGCAAAGAGAAAAGUGGCUGAACACCAAGAGAAGAAGCAACAGAGCAUUGGAGACUAUAGAUAGAUGUGGCUUAACUUUAGAUGGCAUGACUUCAGAGAGGAGCCCGGUCGUCUCUGGGAAAGAUCACCUUCAUCCUACACCAUCCCCUCUCCAGCUCCUGAUUCUCUGAGAGCCACUUCCACUGCUUAAUAAAAUCCUCUGCAUUCAUCACCUUUCAAACAGUUCAUGUGAUCUGAUUCUUCUGGAUGCCAAACAAGAACUUGGGUAUCAAAGGGGCAGGUGCAGAAGGCUGUCACCCUGACCUACCACUGAGCUGUCAACACUUAGCCAUCCAUAGACAGCAAAUUGUAUACAUUUGCUAAAUUUACAAAAACUAAAAUUGUAGCUAAAACUGUAACACACCCGUAGAAUGCUGCCAUGGGGCUGGAGCCCAAAAGCGCUUGGCCCGGCCCUGGCACCCAC
rnacentral:lncRNA from 10 species